GUUCAGACUGCACACUGUACAAGGUCACCACACCUAAAGAAUGCCACUGGGUUCUCAGAUACUCACUUAUCUGAGAGAACACUGGAGAGUGUGUGGAUUCCCAGCUAGGUGUGUCCUGGGGCAGUAGCAAUGAGCUGCCGCCAACAAACCCACGGGGCACAGCCAGCCCCGGCACAGUGUGCUCACUCAGGAGAGAAAGCCUCUAGGCCGUCACUGACUCACCUGUGUGUGCAGCUGUGCCUUCUCCCAAUGUCAGUUCUCUUGCCCACCAUUGCUCCAGGAGAUGCGAUUCCACUCCCAGCACCCUGCUUCUGACUCUGAUCCUGACUCAGCUGCCUGAGCCAAGGGCUGGGGAACAGACAGGGAUAUUGGACUGUGCUCUUCAGCAUCCAAAGGGGACAUGUGCUGCCUGCCAGGGCUCUGGAAAGCUUCCCCAGGGUGAGAAAACAGAGACUCGGAGCAUUAAAAUGACUUGUUCAAGGUCCCAGCAUUACAAAUCAGAUCAAACCAUGGAUGAAUGGAUCCAGCCUUUGUGUCUGUUUGCCCUUCAGAUACAUGAUUUCAUUAUGUGGAUGUUAUGAAUGAGCUGUGCAACUGUUGGUGAUGGAGUAACACAAAAAAACAAGGAGCAAGUGGAGAAGGUUAGCCCAAUCCCUGACUCUCAAAAUGUAUAUCUGGAAAACAUGGGCUAAGAAGGCCUCGCUUGCCACUUGUCUUAGUUUAUAUUGCCCCGGAAGCAGACUUUGAGCCAAGUCUCUGAGGACAAGCUACCUAUAGGGAGGUGCAAGGAACAGGAGUAGGAAGGAGAGCAAGUGGUAUGGGAGGGGAAGGCAACCAUUAUUCAGCCAGCUACAACAGUGGAAGAUUAAAGCUUAAUCCUAUGGGGAAGCCCUGGUAAAUAGCACAAAAUAUGGUUCAGAAAUUUUUUUGGCCGGGGAUCUAGAAUAUUCUUGACCAACACUCAUAAACCACUCAUCAGUGGUUAAGGGCUGACCCUACCGGGGUGAUUAAUUCGUAGGCACUUCCUGCUGGCUGUGCACAGGGACAGAGGGGUUUUCUGUACUCUGACGGCAAGCCGCAACAGAGAUGAAAGUAUUGGCUACCAGACCUCAGGCUGGCACAGGUGGAAAUGGUGAAAAUAGCUGAGGAGCUGUAGGUAGAAUGCACACUGCAGCUACACUAGUCACACUUGUGUAGGCUUCCCCAGUGGGAUUACAAUGAUGAGGCAAUUGUCAUAAGGUGCAAAUGUUGUUCUUAGCUAUCAGUCCCUACCCUGCCCUUCCACUUCCCUUAAGACCUGUGUGAUUUAAUGCAGUCAGUUUUCUCAUGAUA
rnacentral:lncRNA from 1 species